rnacentral:rRNA from 1 species
CACCGCGGUUAUACGAGGGGCCCAAGUUGAGAAAUAACGGCGUAAAAAGUGGCUAAGGAAAAACUAAACUAAGGCCAAAUAUUUUCAAGGCUGUUAUACGCAACCGAAAACAAGAGGUCCAACAACGAAAGUAGCCUUAAUAUACCCGAACCCACGAAAUCUAGGGCA